rnacentral:lncRNA from 1 species
GAAAUUCCAUUUCUUUUUGGUCUCGAAUAAAAUCUGGGAAAUAUUUUUCAUUAAAUGCCUCUAGAAAUACUUCCCAAGUCAAGGUUUUAUUUUCUUUGACCAAUACUCCUUUUGCCAUUUGCCACCAGUGUUGUGCCUCACCUUCUAACAUAAAAACUGCCAAGGCCACCUUCCUAUCAUCAGGACAUUCCAUAACCUCGAAUAUUUUUUCCAAUUGCAUAAUCC